UCACAUAUGAAUGAAGGGUGAUAUCCCUACAGUGAGCUCCAACCAUUUGGGUUUUUCCUGUGCUACCACCGUUAAUGUGGGUAUGGUCUUAAAAGCUCUUGUGAUAACAUGGGUGUGGUUUAAAAAAAGGGGUUGGUCAAAACUGUCUUUCAUUAUCAGCUCUCCACCUUGUAGGCCACAGAAGUUGGACAGCACUGUCCUAGAGGAAGCUUUCUGUCAGUAACAUACUGUCUAUGACACAAUGUAGUGUGCUGUGAUAGAACAUAAUGAGAGGAAAGCUUCCUUUCACCUUCUCAAGUAUUAGCCAGUUAGAUGUGCCAUAGGCAUGACCUCUCCAUUUGCGGACAUUCGAAAUUGCUUUGAUUAUCCAUGAGAGGAAUGUGGCGAUAUAAAUAAUUUUGACACUGCCUAGACUUCAUUAUAGUUGUUUGGUUGAAGUUGCAAGAGCAGUUCAGAGCUACUGUUGUGUUUGGAUUUGACUGCGAUUGUUUUGUAUCUUAGUAUCUUUUGUUCUGUGGGUUGAGCCAUUAAGAGCUGAAAUAAAGGAUUACUACUUAAAGAUUAAGCUACUCUGAAGCAGCAUAAAAUAGCAUGAGUAUAGUUCCUGUAUGGUUACAAUAGGAUCGUUGUUUUGAUUUUCUUCAUUCUUAUGUUUUGUUUUUUUUAUAGCACCAGCAAGUCACACAGUGCUUUGCAGUAAUAUAGCAAUCGGGUCUUGCAAUAACAUAGUUACAUAAUAACAUGGGAUCAGAGGGAGCUGCUUGAAGAGCUUACAAUAUGAAAUAUAGAUUUGAUUACCUGUUUUAUGGCUCUCCAUCUAGCAGGGAGCUAUAUUUUCUGGGGGUUCAUUGUGCUCUGGCCACAACACUAUAUUCUGUUUCAGUGAUAGAAACUUGACUGAGAUUGUGUUAAACCCACUAAAAAUUAUUGCAAGAAUAAACUGAUGGGCAGUCACAGACUGUGCUGUUCACUCUUUAUAAAAAUAAUUUUGUGCAUUAAAAGUUUUCACUUCCUAAUUAAAGCGUUUUGAAUAGGUGAAACCAAAUAAUACAAAAGCAGAUUUAUAAAAUUAAAACGUAUUGUUCCAUUGCCCUUUACUUAAAUAACUAAAAAAAAAAAACCCUUAAGAACUGGCAGCCAGAACACUAACAGGAGCUUUAAUCAUUUAAAUUCAUAGGAACAUUUGAACUGAUAAAAAAAAAGCUGAAUUUGUUGAAAUGUGCAGUUCUCUCCUCCAAGUGAUCAAUGAAAUUCCAUCAAUAAAUGCAAUUAUAUAUCACGGUGUGUCCCCUCCAUACUCUUUAUCCAGGCACUUAUAUCCCACUGCAAUGGCAUACUCUCACUAAUCAUGGUACAAUUUCCAGGCUUAUAUGGUAUUGCAGAUGUAUUGUGCAUAUAGGACUGUGUUUUCUGCUCACUUCCAAAACUUUCCGCAGCACCUCCAAGCUGUAGAAAAUAUGGCACCAAUUUGUGAACUAGUGUGCGUUCUGCUGUGGAAUGCAAUCCAGGAACAAUGCAUCAUUUAUGAUCUUCAUCUCUCAGGCAUGCCUUUCGUUCCUCGGGACUUUAUCAAUUAGACUCUGUUAAAGGGUAAGAUUCUCACAAACACUUACACUCUUACAGGGACACACCAACUAUCAUAAACGCAUUCAUCACUUAAAUCAACACAUCAUAAAUCAUAACAAGUCAUACACCACAUAGUUAAAUCUAUAGGGCGAUAAACACUAUUCUCAUAAUAUUUCCAAUUAUUACAUUUGUAAAAACUGUGACAAUUCAAAUUUGCUGUUUAAACUUUUAGGGUAUAACCUUCAAACUAAAAAUCCAUUGCUGUUCUUUACACCGUAACAAUUACUUUAUACCCCCCCUUUGCGUACCCAAUCUGUAGCAAUAAACUUCUAUUGAUUUUAUAAAUAGGAUGAAUCUCCCUUUGCUCCUAGAUCCCCUUAUAUUACUUAAAUGCUCUCCUAUUCUAAUAGUAUGGAUAGUUUUACCUAUGUAUUGAAAAUUGCAUGUACACUGUUAAUUGGCAAUUCAAACAGUGUUUUAUGAAAUAACUUUUGGAAUCCCCCAAGAUUUACAGACUUUAAACUUUAUCCUCAAAGAGGAUAUCCCGUGCUUCUUUAAAAUAUUGAACAUUUUCCAACUAUCCCCACUAUAUUUUGUUACUAUACGAGGACAUUUUGCUAUUAUUAAUUACCUUUUCUUUUUUCUUGAUUUUUUUUUUUUUUUUUUAGAUCUCCUUAUUUUAUAUCCUUAUCUUCCAGAUGACCCUUUUCUAGAAAUCUCUCUUUUAGGGUGAUGGCACAUGGGAAGAUUUUUUGCCCACGGUGAAAUCUGUGUUACCUCAGGUGACAAAUUUUCCAAAAAUGGUUACCCACUGGCAAUAAUGAUCACUGGUGGGAAAACAUAAGCGUAGUUUUCCAAAUUUACCUCGAGAGGUAUCUUUAGGCAACUUCAAAAAGCCGAACUGACUAUGUUGUCAAUGUUUUCCCACCGGCAAUUUACAUUAUUGCCAAUGGAAAAGCAUUUAUGACCGAUUUGUAGCCCGUGGUAGCGUAGAUUUAACCGUGGCUGACAAAUCUCCCCAGGUAUCCACCCACAUUUUUAAAAUGGGUAGCAGUGUGAAUGAUCCAAUCUAAAUUAAAUACCAGAUCUUUAAAAAAAAAAAAAAAAAAAAACUACUUCUCCCUGUUUGCAGUGGAAGUCAAUAAAAUGUUCCUAUUGUUAGGGUUCCAAUACCUAAAACUCCUCUACCAAAAAAUGUAAACCCCUCCAACUAGAAGAAAUAUCUUCUAUGUACCGCUUCUAAAAUAUUAUAUGGAGGCAGUACAUAUUCAAUCCAAAAAAAUAUAUGCUUCCAAAUGGUCCAUAAAUAGUCCAUAACUCAGAGCGAAGAUGAAGAUUUCUUUCCUAUGGGUCUGCCUAUAAUAAACACCCAACAUGGAUUUAAAUAGAAUGAUUUAUAUAAAAAAAAGAUAAUGUCCUUGUCUAAAAAAAAAUGUUUUUAAUGGCUUAACUAUAUUCACCACAUCUAUACAAAAACACAUCCAGUGUCACAAAAACACAUUCGAGGUCCCUUGUGUCUCACGACUCUGUACAACUACAGUACAACUAAAGGUGCUAAAAAGGGAGCCCACUCUAGAAAUGAGAGGAUGUUUGGAAAGAUUAUUUGGACCUUUUGUGAGGUGGUAAAAAAAAAUAGUGAUAACAGGUGAUUUAUUAAAUCAAAUACAUUCUUGUUGAUUAUGUGCCCUCUCUAACGUCAAACAAUCCAAAUAUUUUUUCUGUUUGAACUUUUCAAUGAUAUUUAAUAAAAAUGAUUAAUCUCAAUAAUCCAAGUACCUCCCCAAUAUAUAUAGUUCUCUUUCUUGAAUUAUAGUUUUUUUAGGGCAAUUCUUUUUCCUCUGACCAAUCUUUAAAUAUCUGAAAUCCCUUUUCAUCAAUUUAUUAAGCAAAUUCAUAUGUUUGCCCCCAGCAUCAGAAAGGUUAAAAUUUGGAGGGAGGUUUAAAGUCACUUUGACCUUCUUUAGGUUGAUGGCCUACGGGAAGAUUAUUUGGCUGCAGUUAAUCCCUGCUACCGUGGGCGACUAAUCUCGAAAUGCCUUUCCACCAGCAACAACGUUACUUUGCAUGACUUUGGAACAUGAAGCAACACGUUUGCCUUUCCACCGGCAAUUCACUUUAUUGCCAGUGGAAAGGCAUUUUAGGGAGGCAGAGAUUAACUGUGAGUGACUAAUCUUCCCGUGGGCCAUUACUCUAUUUAAUUGAAUCACUUUUUUUUUUUUCUUUUUUGUCUUUGAUCUUAUUUGAAAAAUAUUUCUCUAAAGUAAAGAUGCACCGAACCCACCCUGACGGAUUCUGCUGAAUCCCGAACCAAAUCCUAAUUAGCAUAUGAUAAUUAGGAUCGGCAAGGGGCAAAAGUUACCGCACGCGGUGAAAAUAACCCCCCUAAAAUGUAACCCUUUCUGAAUGCUAAUUAGCAUAUGCUAAUUAUGAUUUGAUCCGCCUGGGAUCAUGGAUUCGCCCGAAACCGAAUCCCAAACUAAAUCCGGGAUUCGGUGCAUCCCUACUCUAAAGCUAAUCGUCUAAUAUGUUUCUGUAUAUUUGUGAAUACACCAAAAACAUCUACCACUUUCUUAGGCGCAAAUUGUAAUCCUUUUCCGAAGAGUGAAAUCUCAUCACCAGACAAUUUUUUUGAGAGAUUAAAAACUCCCCUUUGACCUAUAUCUCCUAUUUUCAAUUUUUUGAGGGAGUCAGAAAAAUGUUAACUCCUUAAAUGUGUGCGAGAAGGCGACAAUGAGUGCUAAAACUUGUUUCCUGUGCAAAUUUUCAGUUCAGUCAUCAGCAAUAGGAGAAAAGCAUAGAAACAAAAUCUUUCUACUUGAUGGGGGGUAGCAGUGUGUAUACACAUUUUGAAUAUUUGCAGUUCUUGUUUUUAUAAUGAAAGCAGAAAACCAGGAGUCUCCAGAAGUACCUUGUCUAACCUGCCAACAGAAAUAAAACAGUAUUAAUAUCUGCCAGAGAUCUUCAAGGAUUCAUGAAUUGAUAUCCCAAGAAAAUCUGUGCAGUGGCCAGUAUAAAGCUUGGCGAUGCAUGGCAAACCUCCCAAAACGAGUAGAUAUCUGACCGAUUUGGCGACUCGGCACUAGAUCAUAUAUCAAGAUCUGUUGGAUGAGGACUGCUUUAAUAUGCUGAUGUGGCCUUUUAGAGAUUUUCAAACCUGUCUGAAAGAUAUCUCGCCGAUAUUGGUCAGACAGGCCCUCCCAGGGGCACCAUAUACAGCCCAAUAUAGCUGGAGGGGUUGGGGCAGCAGUUUUUAUUUGUCAGCUUUUUACAGUAGAGGAAAUGUAAAUGACACACAAACGUGAGCAUCUGAAUAAAGUAAUAUGGAACUAUGAA